CACUCGUCCUCUGUUUGAUGGUAUCUUCUUUCUCCUUCAGGUCUUGCUCUACAUUAUUCUUUUCCCUAGAAGACCAGCAAACAAUGCAAGAAUACUUAAGAACAUCAGCUACAGCAGCUUGGGUAUGAAAACUGAGCAGGAAAUAAAAUGCAAGCAGCACAGGUCAGGUACUAAAAUCUUGCAACCUGGACUACAUUAAGCAAGCAACAGGCCACGAUACCCACCCACAGCCAGCUUACGCUGGUCAGAUCACAACACAAACAACGAAUG